rnacentral:rRNA from 1 species
UUACCCGCUGAAUUUAAGCAUAUCACUAAGCGGAGGAAGAGAAACUAACCAGGAUUCCCUCAGUAACGGCGAGUGAAGCGGGAACGAGCCCAGCACCGAAUCCCCGGCGCCGCGCGUCGCGGGACCUGUGGUGUUCGGGACGGCCCGAGAGGCCGCGUGGCGCGUGCAAGUCUCCCUGAUCGGGGCCUCGCCCGUAGCGGGUGUCAGGCCCGUACUCGCGCGCCGCGCGGACGACCGGAGCCCGUCCCCAGAGUCGGGUUGUUUGAGAAUGCAGCUCAAAGUCGGUGGUAAACUCCAUCCAAGGCUAAAUACGGGCACGAGUCCGAUAGCAAACAAGUACCGUGAGGGAAAGUUG